AAUAAAUUAAAAAUAAAAGUGUACUUAAAUAUAUACAACUCAAAUUAAAAAAAUUAGAGUAUUCUAAGGAAAUUUAACCUAUGGGUUUCUUGUAUAUAUUUAUGCGAAUGAGAACUACAAUGAGCAAAUAUAGCACCACUUUAAAAAUCUUUGUAAGUUUAGGUCUCCAACAAUCUUUAAAAUUUUCCCAAGUGUUUUAAUUCCUCUUACUUUUUUAUGAAAGAAAUAGUAAUUGCUUAAUUCUAAAUAUAAGAGAAGUAUGGUAAAAACGCUAAGCAAUUAAAAUGGUUUAAAAAUACCCCUACUUUUAAUAUACAUCAUGUUGACCCCACACAUCAAUUCAU
rnacentral:misc_RNA from 1 species